rnacentral:rRNA from 1 species
GAUGAACGCUGGCGGCGUGCUUAACGCAUGCAAGUCGAACGAGAAGUGGAGACGGAAACCUUCGGGCGGAAGACUUUAUUUCGAGUGGCGGACGGGUGAGUAACGCGUGGGUAACCUGCCUCAUACAGGGGGAUAACAGUUGGAAACGACUGUUAAUACCGCAUAAGACCACAGCACCGCAUGGUGCGGGGGUAAAAACUCCGGUGGUAUGAGAUGGACCCGCGUUCGAUUAGCCAGUUGGCGGGGUAACGGCCCACCAAAGCGACGAUCGAUAGCCGAUCUGAGAGGAUGACCGGCCACAUUGGGACUGAGACACGGCCCAAACUCCUACGGGAGGCAGCAGUGGGGAAUAUUGCACAAUGGGGGAAACCCUGAUGCAGCGACGCCGCGUGAGUGAAGAAGUAUUUCGGUAUGUAAAGCUCUAUCAGCAGGGAAGAAAAUGACGGUACCUGAGUAAGAAGCCCCGGCUAACUACGUG